GACGAACGCUGGCGGCGGGCUUAACACAUGCAAGUCGAACGGAAAGGCCCUGCUUGUGUGGGGUGCUCGAGGGGCGAACGGGUGAGUAACAUGUGAGUAACCUUCCCUUGACUUUGGGAUAACUGCAGGCAACUGGGGAUAAUACCGGAUAGGUGCUCCUGAUGCAUGGUGGGGGUUGGAAAGUUUGGGCCGUUUGGGAUGGACGGUCGGCUUAUUAGCUUGUUGGUCGGGGAGUUGCUUACCAAGGCUUCGACGGGUAGCCCGCCUGGGAGGGUAACCGGCCACCUUGGGCCUACGAUACGCCCCAGACUCCUACGGUGGACAGCAGUGGGAAAUAUUGCACAAUCGGCGGAAGCCUGAUACAGCAACGCCGCGUGCGGAAUGACGGCCUUGGUGUUGUAAACCGCUUUCACCUAUGACCAAGCGUGAUUGACGUUACUGAGUAAAGAAGCACCGGCUAACUACGUG
rnacentral:rRNA from 1 species